rnacentral:lncRNA from 1 species
UUCCAUACCGAGCAAGGCUGCAGCGGUGGCUGCAAGAGGGACCUGGAGAUGUUAGCAAACCCAGGCAGGAAGUAACAAUGAGCAGAUUCAACCUGGAAAAAUGCGGCCUUUGCAUCUGGGGAUAAAUAAUCAGAAACACAAAUACUCAGGUGGGAGGGAGAUGCUUGGAACAGGAAGCAGCCAGACAGCAUUUGGACAGGAGCUUGCAAUGUGAUCUGGUGACAAAGAAAUUGCUGGGGGAUUCAUGAGCUGGAUGCAUGGAGGUGAUACCCCAACAAGAACAAGGAAGGAACAAGGGGGAGGACAAGCAGCUGUUCUUUGCCUCCCUGGAGGCCACCACUAUGUGGACCAAGGGUUUGAGAUGGCAGCAAGAAAGGUUCGGGUCAGACUCUAGAAACAUAGGGAGAUAUUACGUAAGAGCAUGGGCAAGCCCCCUGGGAAGAAGUCUGAAGGACCCUGACAUGCACAGCCUGUCCAGAGCUGGGGGCAUGGAUGAGGUGACCUUCAAGCAUCUGAUGCACACGACUGCAUGAUUCUGCAGAAUACGACUCUCCACAGCACCGGACAAUUGCGCAGUGUUGAAGUCUCAUGCUGGUCUGUAAAGCCAGGCCAGAAGAGGAACUGGGAAUAAUUAGGAUGGGAGAUUACAUCCAACUUACAGGUGGCACCCAGUAACAAAGAAAAUCAGCAAAGCACACAGCUGGCUAAGGUGAUGCACAGACCAGAAACCCUUGACAAGGACAACCGUGACAUUCGUUGAGCCAUAGCAUCUGGUACUGCAGUUUGGGAUAUGGCAGAUCAAAGCCCAGAAACCUCCUUCCAACCCCUUCUGAGGAAUCCUAGAGAUCUCCAGAAGCACCCUGUCAGUUGGUAAAAGACUCCAGACAUAAAGGACUUGGUAAAGAGCCACACCCAGCUCCCUUCCUCCUCCGUGUAAACCCUCAGCCUGCUUUUCACUAGACCCACUGCCCAGCUUUGUGCAAAACCUGGACACUGCUCAUCUCUGUGGCUGGGUGAGUGCCACCUCCUGGGGAGUAUGAGAGAAUAAAGAACAAGAGGAGCAGAAGCAAGAAGACCUUAUUUCAAGGCCCAGCCCUGCUACUCACCCACUUGACAAGGUGCUUUACGUUUCCUAGUCGGUGAGAAGGGACAUUAGCUGCUCUAACCUCCUCAGGGUUGGGGAGGUUGGGGUGGGGGGAGGCUAAAACGAGCAUCAGAGGAGAAUGCUGAAGGUUAAUGUUUUCAUUAUAGAGUCUUUGGAGAUGGAAAUAGACAUGUACCUGGAUUUGGGGGCUUGGAGGCUUGCCUUGCCCCUCCCUGCUUUCCCUGUGCAUCCCCACCCCAGGCUGCCCGGAGGCGUCCCCUCUGAGAUCAAAUCCAGCCAGCCCUACUGUGCCUCCCUGUCUCAGCUGUGCGGUCCCAGGGGCAGGGGCUGCAGAGUUCUUUGUUGUGUUCCCCAAAGAUCCCUCGGGGUAGGAAAGAGGCAAGGGAGAAGCCCAAGGUCCCAGCCUGCUGCCUCAGGGUGGGACAAGCAGGACAGGAACACAGCCAAAGCCAGAGGGAAAUCAUCGCAUCUUCCCCAGUCAUUAGUGUGAGCAGCAGCGGCACGACUGUUCCUACACUCAGGAGAGCAUGGCAGCGUCACGAAUAAACAGUAGAGACGAGGGCAUCAUUAAAACCCAUAUUUGCAUUUUCCCUGCGUUUGCUAUAUCCUUUCCUAGGAACACAAGCAACCAUCCCACUCCAGAGGAGAAAAUAGCCUCAUUUUAUAAUGGAGUCAAUGGGGGCCUGGAGAUCCCCAUCCCAUAGAAAUACACCACGCCCCGAUCCAGCACCAGCAGCCUGCCCUCUGUGGAUGUCCAAGACGGAGCAACGGGCAGGAAGGCCUCCAGGGGACGCUGUCACCCUAGAAAACCAAACAGCAAGGUUUUCCUAAGGAUUCUAAGCCCUAGUUUCCCCAGCAAAGCAAAACCAAGCCAGACUUGAGAAUUAUAAGAGGAGAACUGCUUCAAGACAAGUUUUAUAUAGGUAAGAGUGAGGAAGACAGCGGCAAGUCUGAGUGUUCGCCCUGUGAGGUGAUGGACUGAUCUGGGUCCCAAAAAAUGGUCACCCAGGGCCAACCUGUGCUUCAGAGGCCACAGAGCAGCCUCCAGGGAGGGCAAAAAGCCCAGAGUCCAGUGGGCUCACGGCCCUGG